CUGAAUAUGCACUGGUAACUGAAGAAUUAUAACUGAAGUAACAGUGUCGCAGGUGAACACAGCCAGGUUGCCACAGCAACAGCCCUGGUGCCCGCAGGAUGGCCCGUGUGACUUCACUUCCGGACACCUGAUCAGGAACUGGACCGAAAGUAGCGGCAACGGGAGGGCAUCCCUGAACCUGGGGCUGUACUGUGCAUCAGUGGGAUGGACCCCUCUGAGCAUGCAAUGCCCAUAAAUUGCUGGAAUUCAGACUUCCCUGGCCAGGUGGAAAGCAUUACUUGUGGUCACCAUAGUAACCAGUGCUACAGGAACCAGAAGUGCGGCAGGAGUAGCAGUCAAUGAUUUUUGAGGUGGUGUGGGUGUUUAAUGAAGUCCUUUGCUAUGUACACUUGCUAGUCCAUUGUCCUGAGGAUGGAGCUGUGUACCUGAAAAACAUUUGACAUUCACCAUGUCCUGUGAAUAA